AAUGUCGUAUGCUUAUACUUUCAACGAAUAUGUUUUGUAAAAUUUAAGGAUCGCUGCAGUAUUAUUCAAAGUAACAUUGAAAUGUCAACAAAGGGAUUGAAAUGUUAUCAAUUAUAUCCUCCAUACGCUCGUAAGAGCGAUAGCUGUCUUCAAUCAUCGCUAACCAUAGCAACUGCAAUUUCAUCAAUUGUCGGCGAAAUAUAUUACCCCGCAUGCCUUCCAAA
rnacentral:sRNA from 1 species